rnacentral:lncRNA from 1 species
UUUAUUAUUUGAGUCUCUCAACAACCCCUCUCCAAAUCUUUAGCAUGUGAAAACAUAAUUAGAGUGAGUCACUAACUCAUACAGUGAAAACUUUAAAAAAUAUAUAAAAUUAAAUUGAGAAACAUAUACCUUCAGAGCUCUUUGUAUUGCGUUUACACUUGUUUUACAUAUGUAAAUAGUUAUUUACACAGAGCAAAGAAUAUUCAAUCUGGAACUUCUCAUCUCUGGAAUGAGCACUAUGUGACUAUGUGUGCUUCUCUUUUGGAGAGCUUUUACCAUUCAUCCUUAUAGACAUGCAGUUCUUUUGUAGUCUCGCUCAUUGCUCCUGUUUCUACGGGCUGUAAUGCCACUCUUUAUUAACCCUUGCUUGUGUGUUCCCUCUUGACACCAUGCCAUCUUUUUAUUACUAUUUGUUGUCACCAUGAUACUCCAUAUCUGUUCUGCUCUCUCUUCGUCUGUUUCCAUGUCUUCGGUUCCUCCCUAUAAAUCGAUAGAAAGGGCGAUUCAUACAAAGAAAAGGUUUCUAAUAUCGUGCCUUUUAAUAGUCAUACUGAAAAUUGAUUCUUUAUUUUAGGGUAGCUAGAAAAAGAUACUUUACAUAAGCAUAGGCAUAUCAAUCCUCCCCUCCCAAACCCCACAAAAAAAAAAAGGUUUAUGAUAACACACUAAUCGAUAAUAUGUUCCAGAGAAAGCAUACAUGUAUUUAUAAUGUCAAUCAUAUCUUUGGAUCAUAGCAUAUUUGUAUUACAUAUCUAAAGUCACGUAAUUUCAAAGUGGAGAGGAAAAAAAAAGAAAUAACUCAUCUUCAUUCUAUUAUUUUAUAUGACCCACUGUUAUACUGAACUGAUGCAAUGCAUUUGUAUAAUUUUCCCUCUAACUUUCCACACUCUUUCUAGUUUCUCGAACAUGGUUUAAUGUUUUUACAAUCUGUACUUGUUUAGUGAAUUAAAAAAAUUACACGAAAGAAAAUAUAUAAAAUUGACCAUUGGCAUAGCAUUAGACAACAAAAUACAACUUAUAGGUGGGAUACCAAAAGCGUCACUAUUAAAUUAUAAAUUAUGAUAUGCUCAUCCACUGACAUGCACAAAUUGAUGAGAUCCACAAACACUUUCCCGUUUAACUACUAAAUAGAUUUUCUUUUACUAUCCGGGUUCUUAACUACCUCUCUCCACAUCUUUAGCACGUGAAAACAAAAUCAGAGUGUGUCACGAACUCGAUCAAUGAUAAAUGUCCGACGAAAACUUGAGAAAAAAUAUAAAAUUAAAUGGAGAAAAUGUACCUUCAGACCUCUUUGUAUUGCGUGUAUGCUUGUUUUGCAUAUGUAAAUGGAUCUUUACACAGAACAAAGAAUAUCGCUCAUACGUGGCUAUGUGCGCUUCUCUUUUAGAGUCAUGCUUUUUCCAUUUGUUGUCAUAGCUAUCAUUACAUGUGGUUCUUUUGUAGUCUCACUUAUUGCUCCUGUUUCUAUGGGAUGUAAUACCACUCUUUCUUGACCCUUGAUUGCAUGUUCCCUCACUAUUGACACCACAUCUUCUCUUUAUCAUUAUUUGUUGUCACCAUGAUACUCCACAUUUGUUUUGUUGUCAUUUCGUCUAUUUCCAUAUCUCUGGUUCCUCCCUAUAAAUCGACAAAAAGUGUGAUUCAAACAAAAAAAGUGCUAAUUUUGGUGCAUUGCUUAAGAAACUUCAUGUUUGUCAAUACAAACUUACAAAGCUAUAGUUUUAUUUCUGCUAAAUCGAAGGGAUAUUUGUUGAAAUAGCAUACGGAGAGUUCAAAUGCAUGUGUGUUUGUAUAUUCUGGCAAUACUCAAUACUGAACAUCUAUGGUAUUUGAUGUAUGUAGGUACAUUGCCAUUACCAUUGUUCCUGAUUUCACAAAUGCAACCUAUACUUAAAAGAAUUAAUUCCACUCUCUCAGUAACAUUGUUUUUUCAACUCAACAGCUAUAGAUAACUGGUUCCAAUACUAUAACAUGUUGCAUCUUAAACACAUGUCUCGAAAAAUUGAGGAUUAAUAGAAUAAACCCACUUUCAGCAUAAUACCCACAACAAUAAACUCUUUUGAUGGAAGCUCUCUUUUCAUAUACAGUCAUUCAUAGACCUAUGGUAUUUUUACAACUCUACUAUCAAAAACAAAUACAACAAACAAACAAUCUGUCAAUAAGUUCAAUGAAUUAAUUACUUGAUUGGGUUUAAAUUAACAAAACAAAACUUUGGUCGAGAGUUUAAAGAGUUUCUCUACUCAAUAAUUGCCCCUUUAAAUUGAAAUCAUGGAAUUACUUGAAAGAAACUACUGUAAUCAAAGAGAUUGAUUAAUACUUACUGUGAUCGAGCUCGAUUUUCUUCAAAUUGCCCCUGUCUGAUUAAUUCAAAUUGAACAAACAGUAUUUAGAAGAAAAUCAAGCACAUUAAUUUUUAAUAGUAAAACCCUUUUUGAAUUCCUGUACUAAUUACUUAUAACAUCUAAUUGUUUCACACGAUGGCUACAACUAAUCGAUAAAUAUUAAGGUUAAAAGAAAUUGUUGUAAAGAAAUUAAAAUGUUCAAUUAAAUUUUAUUACAAAAUUCAUGAAUUUGUAAAAACAAACCAAUCAACCAAAAUUUAAUUUAAAGGUCUGUUUGCUUAAAACGUAAAUUUCAUUUUUCAGAGUUACGUUUGUCUAAUCUUAUCAAGAAAAGCCAUAUUAAAAUAGAGCAUUUGCGAAGAAAAUGAUUCAGGGGCUUACAUUAGUCUGAAAUGGAAGCUGUAAUUCGCAACCUUUGUCUCUCCAAUCCACAACCUUCGUUUCUUCUAACUCAUACGGCUCUACUCUCAAACUCUUAUUCCACCGAUUAAUCAUCGUAACCUUCUCCCAUAACAACAAAUCAUCAAAUGGAAGCUGUAAAUUGAUGGUAUGCAACAGUUGUUAUACAAUCUUCUCCCUUCCUCAUGAUUGAGGUGUUGAGCUUGAGCAAUAGCGCCAUAUAAAACGCGAUCUGUUCAUAUACAAUAGUAAAAACAAGAGAAUUUACAAUUGAUGAUAGGUAUUGAAGUAAUUGAGAUAUGAAUUAUGUUACAGUGGUAUUGAUCAUGUUUGAUAGUGAUGAGAGCAGAGAGC